rnacentral:lncRNA from 1 species
ACCACUCACCCCCGGAAGCUCCAGCUCAAAUGAAAUCGAAAUUCUGUAAUGGGCCCAGAUCAAAUCCAAAUCUUUUGGACUCAACACAGACCGAAUGGUAUCAGACACAAAGGUCGAUUCUGCCUCAUGCCUGGCACCUUCCCCCUCGAUGCCAAGGAAUGGUCCGAUGACCAACUCCCAAUGAGCCCUUGGUACUGACCAUCAUCAAUCAAAUAGGAAGAUAAAGAGUCAAAGAAAAGGAAUGAGAAUGAAGGGGGAACCGAUCGAAGAAGAAAGAAAAUAAUGAGAAAAAGGAUAGGCCCACCUUUCGUUCAAAAGAAAAGAAUGAAAGGAAGAGAAGCGG